rnacentral:rRNA from 1 species
CAAGAGUUUGAUACUGGCUCAGGACGAAAGCUGGCGGCGUGCUUAACACAUGCAAGUCGAACGGUAAUGCCCCUCGGGGUACACGAGUGGCGAACGGGUGAGUAACACGUGAGUAACCUGCCCCGGACUCUGGGAUAAGCAUUCGAAAGGGUGUCUAAUACUGGAUAGGACUCCUGCCUGCAUGGGUGGGGGUGGAAAGAUUUUUUGGUUCGGGAUGGGCUCGCGGCCUAUCAGCUUGUUGGUGGGGUGAUGGCCUACCAAGGCGUCGACGGGUAGCCGGCCUGAGAGGGCGACCGGCCACACUGGGACUGAGAUACGGCCCAGACUCCUACGGGAGGCAGCAGUGGGGAAUAUUGCGCAAUGGGCGGAAGCCUGACGCAGCAACGCCGCGUGCGGGAUGACGGCCUUCGGGUUGUAAACCGCUUUCACCCAUGACGAAGAUUUUUUUGACGGUAGUGGGAGAAGAAGCACCGGCCAACUACGUGCCAGCAGCCGCGGUGAUACGUAGGGUGCGAGCGUUGUCCGGAAUUAUUGGGCGUAAAGAGCUUGUAGGCGGUUUGUCGCGUCGGAAGUGAAAACUCGGGGCUUAACUUCGAGCUUGCUUCCGAUA